ACCACGUUGAGAUCUCGCAUUUAUAGUGGUGGAUAGGCCAGGGCCUUUGUUGACCGAGCCAGGGACGGGUUGAACAUCGUCAAUUAUCAGUGAUCGUGCCACUAAUUAAUCGUGAAUUAACUUAAAACGGGAUUAGCCUCGUUAAUUAUCGUGGGGUCGGGUUCUGACCCAUACAAGUAUAUUGCUUGAUUUUUCUUUUUAUAUUUCUUUUCCUUUUGGUACUUUUAGAGUAUCCUUUUUAUAUCUUAUUGUUGUUGUUGAGUAAGGAGGAUACAUAUAUUACAUUAAAUUUGGGCAGGUGAUGUGACUCUCCUUUUCAGCCCCACUUGAACAACAACUUUCAAGAGAGAGCUGCUCUUUAUGGGAUUUCUCCAAAUAGUUCGUCAUCUUAUUGCGCUCACAAGCAGAGCAUAGAGAACAGCAACAUUACUCCAAUGUCAAAGCGCCUACAUGAGGAUUACGCAGAAGCACAUCAUGUAGGUGUACUAAACAAAAGGACAAGAGAAGUGGGCUUUCACGACGUACGCAAACAAAAGAAGUCAGUCAUAGACUAGUAGAUAAUCCCUACUAGACUGCUUUUGUCAAUUGAUUUUGCAGAUUAUGAAGACACAAAUACUUUAUGUAUUGGGGGAAGUCAAAGAGGAAAAAUAACAAAGGACACUGCCUAGUUAUUUGAAGUUUUUGCGGCUAUAAUUGGUGUUAUGUAUUUUCUGCAAUGGACACAUGCAAUGGACUGAGCUAAGCCAUGACAAUAACUGACUCUGACAAAAAAUAAGUUUGAAAAAAAAAACAAAAAAAAAAAAAGUGGGGAAUAAGCAAUAAGUUGAAUGGUCUAUUGGGUAGGGCUAGAAUUUAGGGGACUCAUAGCCAUGUGAUAGCAUUAGUUGAAUAGUGAAUUAUUGUUGUGUUCUCAUGACUAGAUCCAUUGCUCUUUCUUUCUGUGGAUAGAUGUUUCCUGGUUAUAGGGGAAGGAGGAUAUGGAAAGCCACUUCAGUCUUCACUAUGCAAGUGUACAUAUUUUAUUAGUUUAUUUAUGGGCUUUAUUACUU